rnacentral:rRNA from 1 species
CAGCAGCCGCGGGAAUACGGAGGGUGCAAGCGUUAAUCGGAAUUACUGGGCGUAAAGCGCACGCAGGCGGUCUGACAAGUCAGAUGUGAAAUCCCCGGGCUUAACCUGGGAACUGCAUUUGAAACUGUCAGGCUGGAGUCUUGUAGAGGGGGGUAGAAUUCCAGGUGUAGCGGUGAAAUGCGUAGAGAUCUGGAGGAAUACCGGUGGCGAAGGCGGCCCCCUGGACAAAGACUGACGCUCAGGUGCGAAAGCGUGGGGAGCAAACAGGAUUAGAUACCCCAGUAGUCCCUGUCUCUUAUAA